rnacentral:rRNA from 1 species
AGUGAACGCUGGCGGUAGGCCUAACACAUGCAAGUCGAACGGCAGCACAGUAAGAGCUUGCUCUUACGGGUGGCGAGUGGCGGACGGGUGAGGAAUACAUCGGAAUCUACUUUUUCGUGGGGGAUAACGUAGGGAAACUUACGCUAAUACCGCAUACGACCUACGGGUGAAAGCAGGGGAUCUUCGGACCUUGCGCGAUUGAAUGAGCCGAUGUCGGAUUAGCUAGUUGGCGGGGUAAGGCCCACCAAGGCGACGAUCCGUAGCUGGUCUGAGAGGAGGAUCGGCCACACUGGAACUGAGACACGGUCCAGACUCCUACGGGAGGCAGCAGGGGGGAAUAUUGGACAAUGGGCGCAAGCCUGAUCCAGCCAUACCGCGUGGGUGAAGAAGGCCUUCGGGUUGUAAAGCCCUUUUGUUGGGAAAGAAAAGCAGCAGGUUAAUACCCCGCUGUUCUGACGGUACCCAAAGAAUAAGCACCGGCUAACUUCGUG